rnacentral:rRNA from 1 species
CGGCCAUACCACCCUGAGAACGCCCGAUCUCGUCUGAUCUCGGAAGCUAAGCAGGGUCGGGCCUGGUUAGUACUUGGAUGGGAGACCGCCUGGGAAUACCAGGUGCUGUAAGCU